UGAAGAGUUUGAUCAUGGCUCAGAUUGAACGCUGGCGGCAGGCCUAACACAUGCAAGUCGAACGGUAACAGGAAGCAGCUUGCUGCUUCGCUGACGAGUGGCGGACGGGUGAGUAAUGUCUGGGAAACUGCCUGAUGGAGGGGGAUAACUACUGGAAACGGUGGCUAAUACCGCAUAACGUCGCAAGACCAAAGAGGGGGACCUUCGGGCCUCUUGCCAUCAGAUGUGCCCAGAUGGGAUUAGCUUGUUGGUGAGGUAACGGCUCACCAAGGCGACGAUCCCUAGCUGGUCUGAGAGGAUGACCAGCCACACUGGAACUGAGACACGGUCCAGACUCCUACGGGAGGCAGCAGUGGGGAAUAUUGCACAAUGGGCGCAAGCCUGAUGCAGCCAUGCCGCGUGUAUGAAGAAGGCCUUCGGGUUGUAAAGUACUUUCAGCGGGGAGGAAGGUGUUGUGGUUAAUAACCGCAGCAAUUGACGUUACCCGCAGAAGAAGCACCGGCUAACUCCGUGCCAGCAGCCGCGGUAAUACGGAGGGUGCAAGCGUUAAUCGGAAUUACUGGGCGUAAAGCGCACGCAGGCGGUCUGUCAAGUCGGAUGUGAAAUCCCCGGGCUCAACCUGGGAACUGCAUUCGAAACUGGCAGGCUUGAGUCUUGUAGAGGGGGGUAGAAUUCCAGGUGUAGCGGUGAAAUGCGUAGAGAUCUGGAGGAAUACCGGUGGCGAAGGCGGCCCCCUGGACAAAGACUGACGCUCAGGUGCGAAAGCGUGGGGAGCAAACAGGAUUAGAUACCCUGGUAGUCCACGCCGUAAACGAUGUCUACUUGGAGGUUGUGCCCUUGAGGCGUGGCUUCCGGAGCUAACGCGUUAAGUAGACCGCCUGGGGAGUACGGCCGCAAGGUUAAAACUCAAAUGAAUUGACGGGGGCCCGCACAAGCGGUGGAGCAUGUGGUUUAAUUCGAUGCAACGCGAAGAACCUUACCUGGUCUUGACAUCCACAGAAGAAUCCAGAGAUGGAUUUGUGCCUUCGGGAACUGUGAGACAGGUGCUGCAUGGCUGUCGUCAGCUCGUGUUGUGAAAUGUUGGGUUAAGUCCCGCAACGAGCGCAAC
rnacentral:rRNA from 2 species